GACGGGGGCCCGCACAAGCGGUGGAGCAUGUGGUUUAAUUCGAUGAUACGCGAGGAACCUUACCAGGGCUUAAAUGUAGUCUGACAGGUCUGGAAACAGACUUUUCUUCGGACAGAUUACAAGGUGCUGCAUGGUUGUCGUCAGCUCGUGCCGUGAGGUGUCAGGUUAAGUCCUAUAACGAGCGCAACCCCUGUGGUUAGUUGCCAGCGAGUAAUGUCGGGAACUCUAGCCAGACUGCCGGUGCAAACCGCGAGGAAGGUGGGGAUGACGUCAAAUCAUCACGGCCCUUACGUCCUGGGCCACACACGUGCUACAAUGGUAGGGACAGAGAGCAGCCACUUCGCGAGAAGGAGCGAAUCUACAAACCCUAUCACAGUUCGGAUCGCAGUCUGCAACUCGACUGCGUGAAGCUGGAAUCGCUAGUAAUCGCAUAUCAGCCAUGAUGCGGUGAAUACGUUCCCGGGCCUUGUACACACCGCCCGUCAAGCCAUGGAAGCCGGGGGUACCUGAAGUCGGUCACCGCAAGGAGCCGCCUAGGGUAAAACUGGUAACUGGGGCUAAGUCGUAACAAGGUAACCGUA
rnacentral:rRNA from 1 species